rnacentral:rRNA from 1 species
UACGUAGGGUGCGAGCGUUAAUCGGAAUUACUGGGCGUAAAGAGCGCGUAGGCGGUUCUUUGGGUCCGGUGUGAAAGCCCCGGGCUUAACCUGGGAAUGGCAGUGGAAACUAGAGAACUUGAAUCUGGCAGAGGGGGGUGGAAUGCCACGUGUAGCAGUGAAAUGCGUAGAUAUGUGGCGGAACACCGAUGGCGAAGGCAGCCCCCUGGGCUGAGAUUGACGCUCAGGCACGAAAGCGUGGGGAGCAAACAGG